rfam:Anaerosporobacter mobilis DSM 15930 genome assembly, contig: EJ17DRAFT_scaffold00007.7
CAUAACUCAAAAUAAGUACAUCGUAUAAAGUUGAAAAUAUGGUUCAACAGUUUCUACCAAACUACCUUAAAUAGUUUGACUACGAUAUGAAAAUUAAAAACA